rnacentral:rRNA from 1 species
GUAGGGAGCGAGCGUUGUCCGAAUUUACUGGGCGUAAAGCGCGCGUAGGCGGGUUUUUAAGUUGGGGGUGAAAUGCCGAGGCUUAACCUCAGAACUGCCUCCAAAACUGGGAGCCUUGAGGUUUGGAGAGGGAAGUGGAAUUCCAGGUGUAGCGGUGAAAUGCGUAGAUAUCUGGAGGAACACCCGUGGCGAAGGCGGCUUCCUGGCCAUAUCCUGACGCUGAGGUGCGAAAGCUAGGGGAGCGAACGGGAUUAGAUACCCCGGUAGUCCUAGCCGUAAACGAUGGAUACUAGGUGUUAGAGGUAUCGACCCCUCUAGUGCCGGAGCUAACGCAUUAAGUAUCCCGCCUGGGGAGUACGACCGCAAGGUUG